rnacentral:rRNA from 1 species
GGUUAGGUAGGAGGAUGAAGAAAGUAAGUAAUUAGGCAGAUGAAUUAACAUAAGAAUGGUAUUGAUUAAGAGGAAUAAUAAGUAGGGUUAGUUUUAUUGGCAGGUUAAAAUAAGUUUAUAGAAUAAAUUAAAUUUAGUACUUUUUGCAUCAUGGUUUAUAGAGAGAAGUUAGUUUGUUAGGUUCCCGAAAGUUCCCGAUCUAUUUGGUUUAUGUAGCGUUUGGGGUAAAAUUUAGUGUUGCAAAACUAAACUGAAGGGCCAGAUAGUUGUGAAAUGCUAUAUCGUGGGGGCUGGUAGCUGGUUAGGGGGAAAACGUAUCAUAGUGCGGGUGAAGUUGUGCUUAUUUAAUUAUUAGGGUGGCUUCUACUUAUAUAUUUGGGGUUAAGCUCGAAUAUAAAGGAGGUAGGGUAAAGAUAACUAAAGUAGGAUUAACAUUGUUCUUCUUUGAGAUAUUUUUAUAAAGCGUUUUUAGUAAAGGCGUUGGUUAGGUACCUUCUUAUAUAUAAUAAUUUUUUAUAGUGUAAUUAGUAUAAGAUUAGUAGAUGAAUUUAGUAGUUAUUAUAUGAUAAAUGUUGGAAUAUAAGGUGUGCGUAUAUUACUAAAGAUAUUGUAGGAAAGUUGUUAGAUAUCGCUAAUGAACUCGGCAAAUGGUUUUUGCGCCUGUUUAUUAAAAACAUGGCUUCCUGUGUGAUUUAGAAAGGGGGUCUGGCCUGCCCGGUGGGAUUGGUUUUCUAAACGGUUGCAGAUUUGUACUAAGGUAGCAUAAUAGGUUGCCCUUUAAUUGGGGGAUUGUAUGAAUGGUCGGACGCAGAAAAACUUUAUUGGCGGUAGGUGUUGAAUUUUACUUUCUAGUGCAAAGGCUGGGAUAAUAUUAUUAGACGAGAAGACCCUGUCGAGCUUGGUAAGGUAAGGUCCGUGGGGGCUUAUUAUAUGUUUUUUCGGGGAAGAAAGGAAGGGAUGAAAUGCCUUCUUUUUUAGAAAUGUAGAUAAAGUAAGAUUUCUAGAAGAAGAUAGUUACCGCAGGGAUAACAGCGCAAUCCUCUUAAUAAGUUCAUAUUUAAGAGAGGGUUUGCGACCUCGAUGUUGAAUCAGGAUAUCUAUCAGGUGUAGGGGCUUGGUAAGUGGGACUGUUCGUCCUUUGAAAUUCUACGUGAUUUGAGUUUAGACCGGUGUGAACUAGGUCGGUUUCUAUCUAUAAGUGAAUGGCCCUUAGUACGAAAGGAUCAGGGUCGUUAGUAUAGUACUAAAAGGUUUAACGUUAAAAUUUUUGGAGAUAGACUCAGUGUAGGUGGAUAGUGAAUCUAUUUUAAGUGUGAUUGGGCAGAGUCUA